rnacentral:rRNA from 1 species
UACGGGGGGAGCAAGCGUUGUUCGGAUUUACUGGGCGUAAAGGGCGCGUAGGCGGUCGUGACAAGUCACUUGUGAAAUCUCCGGGCUUAACUCGGAACGGUCAAGUGAUACUGUCGGACUAGAGUACAGAAGGGGCAACUGGAAUUCUCGGUGUAGCGGUGAAAUGCGUAGAUAUCGAGAGGAACACCUGCGGCGAAGGCGGGUUGCUGGGCUGAUACGGACGCUGAGGCGCGAAAGCCAGGGGAGCGAACGGG